rnacentral:lncRNA from 1 species
GUAAUAUCAGGCAAUUCACCUAGAAUUCAGAAAGCAACAAAUAGAACAAUUCCUCUCUCUUGGGACUUCAUUUUCUUGGAUCUGAAUUUUUAAGUCCUGAAGAUUCUGAAAUAUUCCAAAGGAUUAGGAGUUUAAAAUUCUCUCUUCCUCAUGGAGGAAAACCAGGAGAUAUACAAAGAGGUAUCCUGCUAGAGGAUCCCAGGCUAACGAUGGAUUAGGGAAGAACAGAUGAUGUGUCCAAGCGAGGAGGACAUAAGAGAAGCAAGGUGCCAAAUAAAGAAUGAGAGGUCAAAUGUAAUACAAUUUGCUGACUGUAAGGGGGAGAGUUUUUUUCCCCAAAAUGCCAAAGUACAUAAAGAUAAAGGUGAAAGUUUCCUCUCACCAGUUCCAGUGUUAACAGUGAGAGUUCUUGGGCAAGCCCUCCCCAAAUGACCGAAAUGGCCCUCCUGCUACUCCAGGACUACAUUUUACCAGCAUAGUGACAAAGUAAAAAGCAAAUGAUUAGUUCAAGCCAGUGAUGUGAAGGGUCAAGAAAACUUUUUCUUUUGAGCUAUUCAAGCUUACAACAAAUUGGGACACAAUUGGAGAUACUGGUUACUUUACAAAGCAUUUAACUGGAAUGGCAUAUUUUCCAUAAUGACCAGACUGCUUUGAGGAAUUAAGGUUGACUUAUAAAGCUCAAAAAAAGCUUCUUGGAAAGGCUGGUCUGGUAUGUUGUCUGCAAGGUUCCUUUACAAGUUCCCUGACCUUUGGUAACUAAGGAAUGUCACUUUCUGACAGUCCCAGGAACCUCAAAUUAUUUGAGCACUUUGAGGAAAGAGGAACUCACCCAAUUCAUACAGAUAUUGCAAUAGUCUGAUGGCAAAUCCUUGGCAUGGCUUCUAGCCUUGAGGCUUUUAAAAGUCUAAUCUGAGAUUCCUUAUGAAAAAGUUCCAGCAAAGUCAGUCUUAAAAGAGUUUAUAUGCAGCCUGAAUGACAUAGUAAGAAUCCCAUCUCUAAAAGAAGAAGAAAAAUAAAUAAAAAUAAAAAAGCC